rnacentral:tRNA from 1 species
GCGUCGUUAACUCAGAGGCCAGAGUGCCGCCCUGUCCAGGCGGGAGCCGCGGGUUCGAAUCCCGCACGACGCG